rnacentral:rRNA from 1 species
UACGUAGGUGGCAAGCGUUGUCCGGAAUUAUUGGGCGUAAAGCGCGCGCAGGCGGUCUUUUAAGUCUGAUGUGAAAGCCCACGGCUCAACCGUGGAGGGUCAUUGGAAACUGGGAGACUUGAGUACAGAAGAGGAGAGUGGAAUUCCACGUGUAGCGGUGAAAUGCGUAGAUAUGUGGAGGAACACCAGUGGCGAAGGCGACUCCCUGGUCUGUAACUGACGCUGAGGCGCGAAAGCGUGGGGAGCAAACAGG